UACGUAGGGUGCAAGCGUUGUCCGGAAUUAUUGGGCGUAAAGCGCGUGUAGGCGGCUUUGCAAGUCGGGUGUGAAAGCCCUCAGCUCAACUGAGGAAGUGCGCCCGAAACUGCAGAGCUUGAGUACCGGAGAGGAUGGUGGAAUUCCCCAAGUAGAGGUGAAAUUCGUAGAUAUGGGGAGGAACACCGGUGGCGAAGGCGACCAUCUGGACGGAUACUGACGCUGAGACGCGAAAGCGUGGGUAGCAAACAGG
rnacentral:rRNA from 1 species